GACAAUUUUUCGUAAGAUGAGGCACCGACUAUACAGUAGAUGCCUUUCGACGAGCUGAUCAUCCGUCCAAGGCGUCCUACGGUCUGCAAGAAUGAUCACGAAACCGAGAAAUCAGACCUAUGCUCCAAACUGUGAGCGGGACGAAUCCUUCAGAGCUUUAACAGGUGGCUUCUCCUAAUUAUAUUUUCUGUUCUAUGUAAAGCAAUACGAGAAAUGUGAACCUUCGGACUACAAAAAGAAAAACUCUGCCUGUCUUAUAUAUGAUAGUCAUUAAAGCCAUGUGAAAUGUUGA